CUCACUCCCGUGCCUCUCCCGUGCAAGCCAAGGGAGCCACCUCCCUCUCUCACUCUCUCAAGCCCCUCUCCCUUUCUCCCUCAAAUCCGUGCUCUAGGAGCCAAAUCAAGGGUUGAAAAGUGAAGAACGCCAGAAUUCUUCGAUUUCCCACCGUUUCCUUCAUCACCCGGCGGCCACUAACCUUCACAAGUGUUGUGGAACACGCCGAUCCAUCGAUCCCGAAGACCGAGGUCGAUCCCGAGGCACUGCACCUUUGUGAACCAGUGCAUCAAGGCAAGCAACCUAUUAUGUUUGCAUAUUGCACCCGUUUAAUCGAAUUGAAUGAAGUCUAAAAUUGAUAAAUUAUGCUUGUGUAUAUUUGCAUGUUUAGUGAGUCAUUGUCGGGUAUAAAUGGGUAGAUCCUAUGUUGAAUUGCAUAUCCUCUACCUUGAUAUGUUGUUUAUCCAUACCCUUGUCGCCUUGAAAUUAUUGUUAUCUAGAUUACAAAUUAAUCGAAAUGCUUAGCAAUGCAUAGGUCUUUCGGUAGAAGUCGAGCGGUGAAUGGUUUCAUCGUUCGCGAGCAUAGGCGUUAUUUACUUUCGUUAUGAUCACAAUGUUGGAGAUUGGUUGAUGAUGGUUGUAUGAGUGGUGAGUAUGAGACGAGAUGUGGGCGGUGCUAGUAUGGUGUUUUGUCCUGUCCGGAUGUGGAGUUCCCCUGGGUAGGCCGGUAGAGGAAGA